rnacentral:rRNA from 1 species
ACAGGGAUUGCCCUAGUAACGGCGAGUGAAGCGGCAACAGCUCAAAUUUGAAAUCUGGCGUCUUUGGCGUCCGAGUUGUAAUUUGCAGAGGGCGCUUUGGCAUUGGCAGCGGUCCAAGUUCCUUGGAACAGGACGUCACAGAGGGUGAGAAUCCCGUACGUGGUCGCUAGCCUUUACCGUGUAAAGCCCCUUCGACGAGUCGAGUUGUUUGGGAAUGCAGCUCUAAAUGGGAGGUAAAUUUCUUCUAAAGCUAAAUACUGGCCAGAGACCGAUAGCGCACAAGUAGAGUGAUCGAAAGAUGAAAAGCACUUUGGAAAGAGAGUUAAAAAGCACGUGAAAUUGUUGAAAGGGAAGCGCUUGCAGCCAGACUUGCCUGUAGUUGCUCAUCCGGGUUUUUACCCGGUGCACUCUUCUAUAGGCAGGCCAGCAUCAGUUUGGGCGGUUGGAUAAAGGUCUCUGUCACGUACCUCCUCUCGGGGAGAACUUAUAGGGGAGACGUAAUGCAACCAGCCUGGACUGAGGUCCGCGCAUCUGCUAGGAUGCUGGCGUAAUGGCUGUAAGCGGCCCGUCUUGAAACACGGACCAAGGAGUCUAACAUCUAUGCGAGUGUUUGGGUGUCAAGCCCGAGCGCGUAAUGAAAGUGAACGGAGGUGGGAACCUUUCGGGGUGCACCAUCGACCGAUCCUGAUGUCUUCGGAUGGAUUUGAGUAAGAGCAUAGCUGUUGGGACCCGAAAGAUGGUGAACUAUGCUUGAAUAGGGUGAAGCCAGAGGAAACUCUGGUGGAGGCUCGCAGCGGUUCUGACGUGCAAAUCGAUCGUCAAAUUUGGGCAUAGGGGCGAAAGACUAAUCGAACUAUCUAGUAGCUGGUUCCUGCCGAAGUUUCCCUCAGGAUAGCAGUAACGUUUUCAGUUUUAUGAGGUAAAGCGAAUGAUUAGAGGCCUGGGGGUUGAAACAACCUUCACCUAUUCUCAAACUUUAAAUAUGUAAGAAGUCCUUGUUACUUAAUUGAACGUGGACAGUUGAAUGUAUCGUUACUAGUGGGCCAUUUUUGGUAAGCAGAACUGGCGAUGCGGGAUGAACCGAACGCGGGGUUAAGGUGCCAGAAUAUACGCUCAUCAGACACCACAAAAGGUGUUAGUUCAUCUAGACAGCAGGACGGUGGCCAUGGAAGUCGGAAUCCGCUAAGGAGUGUGUAACAACUCACCUGCCGAAUGAACUAGCCCUGAAAAUGGAUGGCGCUCAAGCGUAUUACCCAUACCCCGCCGCUGGGGCAAGAUUUAAGCCCCAGCGAGUAGGCAGGCGUGGAGGUCCGUGACGAAGCCUGG